CCAGUGGGGCUACCUGCAGUCGAAGCGAAAGCCCCGCAAGGGGUGAGUAGAGUGGCAAACGGGUGAGUAACACGUGGGUGAUCUGCCUCAGAGUGGGGGAUAACGACCCGAAAGGGUCGCUAAUACCGCAUAACAUCCUGCCUUUGGAUAGGUGGAGAUCAAAGUUGGGGAUCCGCAAGGACCUGACGCUUGGAGAGGAGCCCGCGGCCGAUUAGCUAGUUGGUGAGGUAACGGCUCACCAAGGCAACGAUCGGUAUCCGGCCUGAGAGGGCGGACGGACACACUGGGACUGAGACACGGCCCAGACUCCUACGGGAGGCAGCAGUGGGGAAUUGUUCGCAAUGGGCGCAAGCCUGACGACGCAACGCCGCGUGGAGGACGAAGAUUUUCGGAUCGUAAACUCCUUUCGAUCGGGAAGAACAGCUUUCGGGUUAAUAGCCUGGGAGUCUGACGGUACCGAGAGAAGAAGCCCCGGCUAACUCUGUGCCAGCAGCCGCGGUAAUACAGGGGGGGCAAGCGUUGUUCGGAAUUACUGGGCGUAAAGGGCUCGUAGGCGGCCAACUAAGUCCGACGUGAAAUCCCAAAGCUUAACUUUGGAACUGCGUCGGAUACUGGAUGGCUUGAAUUCGGGAGAGGGAUGCAGAAUUCCAGGUGUAGCGGUGAAAUGCGUAGAUAUCUGGAGGAAUACCGGUGGCGAAGGCGGCAUCCUGGACCGACAUUGACGCUGAGGAGCGAAAGCUAGGGGAGCAAACGGGAUUAGAUACCCCGGUAGUCCUAGCCCUAAACGAUGAAUGCUUGGUGUGGCGGGUAUCGAUCCCUGCCGUGCCGAAGCUAACGCAUUAAG
rnacentral:rRNA from 1 species